rnacentral:rRNA from 1 species
ACAGCAGCAGCCACGGUAAUACGAAGGGGGCUAGCGUUGUUCGGAUUUACUGGGCGUAAAGGGCGCGUAGGCGGACUGAUAAGUCAGGGGUGAAAUCCCAAGGCUCAACCUUGGAACUGCCUUUGAUACUGUUUGUCUUGAGUUCGAGAGAGGUAAGUGGAACUGCGAGUGUAGAGGUGAAAUUCGUAGAUAUUCGCAAGAACACCAGUGGCGAAGGCGGCUUACUGGCUCGAAACUGACGCUGAGGCGCGAAAGCGUGGGGAGCAAACAGGAUUAGAUACCCCCGUAGUCCCUGUCUCUUAUAU